GCAGAGAUGAUGUAAUUGGUAAACAUGCCUGACUUAGACCCAGGUUUCUGAGAGUUCGAAUCUCUCUCUCUGUA
rnacentral:tRNA from 1 species